AUGGCCGACUACCCUUCCACCGUCCCAGCCUCCACCAGGGCCAUCCAGGGCCUGCGUGUGCCGGAGGUGGGCAAGACUAGGGAGCUCGACUGCGCGGUCUGCCUCGAGGACUUCCAGGACGGCGACGAGCUCCGGACCAUGCCGUGCUCCCACUCCUUCCACCGGUGCUGCAUCUUCCGCUGGCUCGAGAUCAGCCGCGUGUGCCCCUACUGCCGCUUCACGCUGCCCUCUGUCGACGAGCUGCAGGUGCUGGACCUGGACCUGGCGGACGAGUAG
rnacentral:rRNA from 1 species